UGGGGAAUUUUGGACAAUGGGGGCAACCCUGAUCCAGCAAUGCCGCGUGUGUGAAGAAGGCCUUCGGGUUGUAAAGCACUUUUGUCCGGAAAGAAAACGCCGUGGUUAAUACCCGUGGCGGAUGACGGUACCGGAAGAAUAAGCACCGGCUAACUACGUGCCAGCAGCCGCGGUAAUACGUAGGGUGCAAGCGUUAAUCGGAAUUACUGGGCGUAAAGCGUGCGCAGGCGGUCCGCUAAGACAGAUGUGAAAUCCCCGGGCUUAACCUGGGAACUGCAUUUGUGACUGGCGGGCUAGAGUAUGGCAGAGGGGGGUAGAAUUCCACGUGUAGCAGUGAAAUGCGUAGAGAUGUGGAGGAAUACCGAUGGCGAAGGCAGCCCCCUGGGCCAAUACUGACGCUCAUGCACGAAAGCGUGGGGAGCAAACAGGAUUCAGAUACCCUGGUAGUCCACGCCCUAAACGAUGUC
rnacentral:rRNA from 1 species